rnacentral:tRNA from 1 species
GCGGAUGUGGCGAAAUUGGUAGACGCACCAGAUUUAGGUUCUGGCGGGAGACUGUGGGGGUUCGAGUCCCUCCAUCCGCA